AUAUACCCUUUUUCUAGGUCUUUUUACAUCAUUUGCUUUUUGUUGUUGCGGCAGAAUAUUGUGCUUUGUUUUUCUUCAUCAGGUAUAUUAAACUUGUUUAGUUCAUAUGGGUGGUGAAUUUGUUUUCUCAUUUAAUGUUGAUUUUUUCUUUGUGUGGUUUUUGAUAUUUGAUAAUGUUUUGAAGAUUUAUUGUUGAUUUUGUGUGUUUUUCUCAUCUAUAAACACCCUUUUAUGAUUUUGAAGAUUUUUGUGUUGAAGAUUUGAUGUUUUGGAUUGACGUGGUUUUACCUUAGUGUUAUGAUCUAAGUCGGGGGCACUACUUUUAUGAGAUAUCGUCCGAUUUGGAUCUUAUGUAAACUCUCAUGAUGUUGUCCUUUGUUUAACGAUGCCCCAGUGAGUUGAGGAGACUUAAAUUGCCGUUGGAUCCCCCAAGAAGGUAGUGUAUUAAUUCUUUGCCCUAUUUUUGUAACUCUAUGAAUGCUUUCUAAUCCUCCUGAGAAGAAUCUGCAGAAGUAUUUGCAUAUAAGGAACAAUUAAUUUUUCAAUUGAAUUUAAAUAAGUUAUUUUAGUAUAGUUUAAAGUUGAUUAUUUUUUAGGUUAUUAUAUAUUAUAGUUGGAAUUAUGGGGAAGGAGUAUAUCAAUAAUAAAGUGGAACAUAUUUAAGUGACUAAUAUAUAAUUGUAAUGCAGGGCUAUAUUGAGGCCGCAAAGUUGGCGUUGAAACUAGAUGUGAAUUAUUUGAGACUCAAAUAAUUCUCAUCUAGUUUGGACGCCAACUCUGCGGGCUCACUAUAUAGUCCUGUGUUACAAUCAUGUAUGAGUCACUUAAAUAUGUUCCAUUUUAUUCACCUUGUGGCCCAAAAUAUAUAGUUUGUUUCGAGGAUCAUUUACCUAAAUGAUUUGAGUAGUUUACCCUUGUAUAACUCUUGCCUUUGUUUUCUUUUGCUGACAAUAAUAUUUCGUUGAAAUAAUAUUAGCAUUCCUAUACUUUGUUGAUUAUUUUCGGUCAAGGUAUUUCGUAUGAGAGAAUGUAAGGAACUUUGUGUCAUUUAAGAAAGGAUAAACAUUCUAUUUAACUUUGGCUUCACUUCUUGAGAUGGGUUAUCAGGUAAAUUUUCAUAACUUAUUUAACUUUGGAGUUGAAUAGAAUCUUGAGAACUAAUGAAUACUGGUUUUCGUGUUCAAAAUGGGAGGUUUGGCUUGAGGUUGGACCUUUUGUGCUUCACAUUCAAGGAAAAGGGCAUUCACAUGUGCUUCCUCUCAAGAAGUUGUGCUUCUUGAGUGGCCAGAACCAAUGCAUGUCUUUUCUGCCCUCGAAUUGAAAAUUAAAUUGUCCGAAAAUGUCCAGUAUGCUGCUGUUUGCAGUACCGAAAAUGGCAUGUAACGGGGCACCAUUUGCAGUACUACGAACAGCAGCAUACUGAACAUUUUCAGACAAUUUGAUUUUUAAUUCAGGGGCAGAAAAGACAUGUAUUGGUUCUGGCCACUCAGGAAGCACAUCUUCUGGAGAGGCAGCCCAUAUGAAUGCCCUUUUUCGUGACUGUGAAACGCCAAAAGCUCCAGCCUCAAGGAUACCGAACCUCACCUUUUGAAUAAGAAAACCAGCACUCAUUAUUGAUGACCAGGAAGACCAUAACAGAAAUUUCAAACUAACAUCAAAAUACAUUCAUUCAUAAACCAUCACAUAACAGUAGAAAACACGAUGUUCUGCUGCAACACUUAUUGUGCAUUAACCAUAACCUGUCGAGGUUCAUAUAUACAUAUAUAUGCGUGUGUGUGUGUGUGAGUCCUCAAACAACAUGUACAUGGUUUUUUCUUUUUUUACAAUAAACAAUUUGACAUUGUGUUGAACUUACAUGUACAAGGUUCUUGAUAUUUAAGAUCGAAGAUCAAAGCAAAUUGAUGCAUUAGCGAUGAUAGCGCAGCAAUUAGAAGUAACAACACACAUCGCAAGAUUGAAAAUAGAUUACCCUUAUCUGAUAUUACAAAUACAAAUGCAAAUCUUAAUUAUGGUGUCACUGUCAUACAUAAUUUGAGCUGUUUAAAUACUACCACACUUUUAUAUUAAUUUUGAUUUUGAUUUUGAUUUUAUACAGGUUCUUCAUCAUUGAGUUCUCAUGUGAUUGGAAAUCCAUUCCAAUUUCAAGACUAACUUCUUAUUACCAAUUGAAAUAUUUUACUUUUUAUUUUCAAUUGCAAUUAUCAGCAAACGCACAACGCGCC
rnacentral:lncRNA from 1 species